rnacentral:rRNA from 1 species
UACGUAGGCAGCGAGCGUUGUUCGGAAUUACUGGGCGUAAAGAGUGUGUAGGCGGUGCUCUAAGUUCGGUGUGAAAUCUCCCGGCUUAACUGGGAGGGUGCGCCGGAAACUGGAGUGCUCGAGCGUGGGAGAGGAAAGCGGAAUUCCUGGUGUAGCGGUGAAAUGCGUAGAUAUCAGGAGGAACACCUGCGGUGUAGACGGCUUUCUGGACCAUUGCUGACGCUGAGACACGAAAGCGUGGGGAUCAAACAGG